CUCAUUCUCCUCUAUCCACUCUCUUUCCACACUUUUGUCAUUUUCAACACUCUCACUAUCUCUCUCCGAUUUUCCCUUUUCUCUCUCAAAACCUCACAAACCCUAACACCUCUCAUCUUGACCGAUCUAGAUUUCUUGCCGUUUUCCAUCCAAUAGCAAUCUCACUCUCUUUUUCAUUUCUCCUGCUAAACACAAGAAACCUCUGAGCUCUCCAAACUUUUUCUUGCAGUUCUACCUCACCAUCUUCCUUCUUCGGAUUCUUCCAUCUUGAUACGAGUUCCACCGUGUUAGAGGAACCUUAAUGGCAACUUUCUGUCCGCAAUGGUCCCAGCAACUCUAUGAGCAAGGCUUUUGCACAGAGCUAGCUUCAAAUAAUUCAGGUAUGUGUGGUAUACCCGGAUUACCUACAUCCAGGCCUCAUCUUUCUGUCGGUGUUAAAGUUGGUAUUUGAAAUGCAGAUGGUAUGUUCAAUAUUUUGUAUAUGUACAUUACUUUGUUUGUAGUUAUAGCUGAUCUAGGAGGUGGUAUGUUCAUAACUGAUCCAAAGAGACUAGCAAGAAGCCACGUGCUUAGGUCAUGCAGCCACAAUAAGGCUGAUGUUCUGGAAAGGAAAAGGGGAACAGUGCGUGUGAAGAUGGAAAUGAACAUGAAAAUUUUCAUCUUAUGUUUUGUUAUCUGCUUUUUACUAUUAAAUAUCUUUUGAAAAGUCACACAAAUCAUGAAGAUAGUAAAUUUGCAAUAUUGUGCUUUCUAAUAGCUGAUGUCUGCUGCUUUUAUUUGUAUUGAUACUCCAAUAUUUAUACUCUAUUUAUUAACUUUUACAUCUUCUAAAGAUUCAUUUUAUGACUUCCUUUGGUUUGAAAAUCUUUUGCUUCAUACUGUACUUUUUUUAUUUUUCAUAAAGACUUAUUUUUCUUCAUGAUGUCAGACACAAGGAAAAAUUUCAUUUGACAUUUGACUGUACUUGCUUUGGUUUGCUAUCUUUUAUUGCUCAUAAAGAUUCAUUUUGUGACUUCUUUUGGUUUGCUAUCUUUUCUAAAAAAUAGUUACAAUGACUGUACUUUCUUUUCACAUCUCCAUCUUAUCUUUACUAGGGCCAUGUCUGAACUUUGAGUACUAUUUCUAGCUUAUAAUGCUAAAGUUUUAUGUGCAUUUGGAAGUGAUUGCAAAGAAAGCUUUAUGUUCAGUGAUAAAUUUCUCUUUCUAUUUUUCCUUGGUUCAACACUUGCUGCAGAAAUAAGCCUACUAAUUUUCCUUGAAUCCCGUGUUCUGUUCUUUCUCUUUCAUGCUCCACCUAUUCAUGUUUUCUUAUGCCUAUGCCUAUCUAAUACAUUUUUAACUUUACAAACACUACCUACUCGAAAGUACAACCAUACAUCACUAUAUAGAGUAAUGCUUGUGUAUCUCACUAAAAAAUUUCCUGCUAUACUAGACAUAGUUCAGUUCCUACUACAAUAGACAUAGGAUGGUAGUGUCUAAUCCUUAGUUCCAUCUGAACUAUCUUUCUCUUAGUUCAACUCCUUUGUAAAUCCUUAUACAACUCUUUACAAUUUAAAUGAAUGAAUAUUUUCAAUCUGUUAUAUAUGAUUUGUUGCAAAGACUUAGGGUCUGUUAGAAAUAGUUUUUGUUUUUAGUUUUUAAAAACUGAAAAGUAAAAAUCAAAACACAAUUUAGCCAUUUCAGUUUUUUGCUUUUAAAAACUGAAAAAUUGUGAAGAGUUUUUAAAAACACAUUUGUAAAAUAUUAUAUUCAAACAAGUUUUUAGUUUUUAAAUUUUCAAAAACUAAAAUAGAGUUUUUAAAAAGCCUUUCAAACAGGCCCUUAAGAUUUAUGUGUUUAUGUUUUGACACAAAUGGUUUUAGGAGAAGAGUGUUCUUCAAUUAUGAAAAAUCGAUUCCCUUCAGAGUCCAUCAGAAAAGGUAAUAAAUCUUUUUAGAGUUUAAACAUAUUAGCUUAAAACCAAGAAAAUGUUAGCAUUGAAUGUUUCAUUUUCUGACAUGUUGUUUGAUUUCAGGUAUACGAGUAUUUUGCGUCAAUUCGAACCACAUGUGGCGAGAUUUUUAUUCUCUAUUAAGAGUUCAAUAGCAUUAUGCUCAAUGUGAAAAUAACUUUUGAGUAAAAAAACUUGUGUUUCUGGAUACUAGGUACAUAUUUUUUGUCUCUUCUCAGCAUACCAGAAUCCAGCUUUUUCGGUCGCGUUUAUAAUGUUUGAUAUUGACAGUAAUGGAUAGGAAUCCUCUUUACUUCUGAAAAUAUCAUAAGCUAUAGUUAAAUUAUGUUUUGGCAUUCGACUUUGUUGAUUGAAUGUUCAUUGAGCUAACGACAGAGACGGACGAUGCCUCGGCGUAAAAAGUCCAGGAGAAAAUGGUUGUCUCUUGGAGCAUUUUUUUGGCCAAGAUGGAAAGGAUUGCUUGCAACAUGACAAGUAUGAAAAUACAUAAAAGAUGAAUAAUUUUUUAUGUUUGCAAUCUCUGUCUAGAUAUGGACAAGUACACUGCAAUAAAUAAAAUCUUUCCAAUAAGUUAUGUCUACUGUUUCUUAAUUCGAUUUAAUGAGGUUAUCAAUUAAGAUCUGUUUCUACUCCCAUUACUUGAUCAUUCUGAGUUAAAUAUUUAUAGAAUAUGGUGUUUGAAUCAUAUUGAUUGUUUGAAUCAAUAUGAUUUGCUUCCUAUGAAAUUGAGAUUUUGUCAUAAAGCUAACUUGAUGCAAAUUGGAAUGUUUAUGAGUUAAUGGAUUUUGAAAUCUGUUUGGGUUAACCAUGAACUUCUUGGAAAUGCUAUUGCACAUUUUACUAGCUUGGUGUAACCAUUACUCUCAAUCUGAGUACAUGCCAAAAAGAACAUUAAUAAGAGAGUAGAUGUUUUGGUUAUACUGU